rnacentral:rRNA from 1 species
CCUACGGGAGGCUGCAGUGGGGAAUAUUGGACAAUGGGCGAAAGCCUGAUCCAGCCAUGCCGCGUGUGUGAAGAAGGCCUUCGGGUUGUAAAGCACUUUCAGUGGGGAAGAAAGCCUUGGGGCUAAUACCCUCGAGGAAGGACAUCACCCACAGAAGAAGCACCGGCUAACUCCGUGCCAGCAGCCGCGGUAAUACGGAGGGUGCGAGCGUUAAUCGGAAUUAAUGGGCGUAAAGCGCGCGUAGGCGGUCUGAUAAGCCGGUUGUGAAAGCCCCGGGCUCAACCUGGGAACGGCAUCCGGAACUGUCAGGCUAGAGUGCAGGAGAGGAAGGUAGAAUUCCCGGUGUAGCGGUGAAAUGCGUAGAGAUCGGGAGGAAUACCAGUGGCGAAGGCGGCCUUCUGGACUGACACUGACGCUGAGGUGCGAAAGCGUGGGUAGCAAACAGGAUUAGAUACCCGGGUAGUC